AUGUCAGGGCUUAAGAUUAAUUUCCGGAAGAGUGAAAUUUUAUGCAUUGGAGGGGAUGAUGACGUUCUUGCUUUUCAUUCUGAGCUCUUCAAUUGCCAGAUUGGCCACUUUCCUAUGAAAUACUUAGGGGUGCCUGUGAGCUAUUCUACUCUCCGUGCGGUAGACUGGGACUUUGUAGAUGACAAAUUCCUCAAGUGUUGUGAAUCCUGGAUUGGUAAUGCGGCCUCUUCGGGAGGGAGAUUGACUCUUCUCAACUCCUCCCUUACGAGUAUUGUUUUUUACUACAUGUCUAUGUUUAUGCUAUCUAAGAAGAAUAUUGAUAAACUAGAUAAGCAUAGGAAAAAGUUCUUUUGGCAAGAGAUCGAUGGUCGGAGAAGAUAUCACUUGGUCAGGUGGUCUAGAAUAUGCAGAUCUAAGAACAAAGGGGGAUUGGGAGUUAAAGAUUUGCACAGACAAAACAUCAGUCUCCUCACCAAAUGGUGGUGGAAACUGGAAACCCAACACGGCCUUUGGCAGGAGAUAAUCCGUGCUAAAUAUUUCAGAAAUGAUACGAUCCCCCCGGUGAAAAGUAAGUUUGGGGAUUCCCCCAUCUGGAAAGCUAUUAUGAAAGUAAAGGAGAUAUACUUGGAAGGUAGAGAAGUGAUCUUAAACUCUGGGAAUAUAGCCAGAGUCUGGAAUGACCCCAUUAGGGGCGAUGCUCCCUUGCGUGCUAAAUUUCCGGCCUUGUUCAGCAUCUGUAACUAUCAGGAGAUUACUGUUGCUGAAUUCAAAAACUUUGAGGGUAGCGAUCUUUUUAGAAUAAACCUUCAUCCUCCCCUUACGGAUCAGUGGAAAGAUCUAGUUAAGGUGGUUAACUCUUGGCAUUUAUCCGAUGAGACGGAUCAUAUUAGCUGGAGGUUGGGGAAGAAAGGUAAAUUCUCGACCAAAUCGGUCUCUUAUUUGGAAAGAACCCUGGCCGGAUGUGAUUUCAGAUGGAUAUGGAAAGCAAAAAUUCCUCUUAAGAUUCAAAUUUUUCUUUGGCAAUUGUUCCAAGACGCGGUUUUGACUCGAGAAGUCAUGAAAAGGCGAAAGUGGGCAGGCAAUCCUAGAUGCUCGUUUUGCAAUGAGGUGGAAACCUCGCAACAUCUUUUCUUUACGUGUCCUGUUGCUCGGGUGGUUUGGAGGACGGUUGGGUGUGUGUUAGGCACAUCGUUGUGUCCAAACAACCUUUGGCAAUACUUCUCCUGGUGUUACAUAUUCCUUCCUGAUGGAGCAAAAUUUUAUACCUUUGGUUUGGCAGCUAUAUGCUGGGCGAUUUGGAUCAGUCGCAAUCAGGCUACCUUUGAGCACAAAACUCUUAAAAGUCCUUUUAAUGUGGUAUAUGCUGCUUGUGGCUUUUUGACAUACUGGGCAGGUUUGAUGGCUGGUGAAGAGCAGGAGUCCGUGGAGCGUGGAGCCAAGAUGCUCAGGUCAAAUGCUUCGACGAUGAUGAGGAUCAGUGCGGCUCCGUCAACGACGAACUGA
rnacentral:rRNA from 1 species